GCACAAGCGGUGGAGCAUGUGGUUUAAUUCGAUGCAACGCGAAGAACCUUACCUGGUCUUGACAUCCACGGAAGUUUUCAGAGAUGAGAAUGUGCCUUCGGGAACCGUGAGACAGGUGCUGCAUGGCUGUCGUCAGCUCGUGUUGUGAAAUGUUGGGUUAAGUCCCGCAACGAGCGCAACCCUUAUCCUUUGUUGCCAGCGGUCCGGCCGGGAACUCAAAGGAGACUGCCAGUGAUAAACUGGAGGAAGGUGGGGAUGACGUCAAGUCAUCAUGGCCCUUACGACCAGGGCUACACACGUGCUACAAUGGCGCAUACAAAGAGAAGCGACCUCGCGAGAGCAAGCGGACCUCAUAAAGUGCGUCGUAGUCCGGAUUGGAGUCUGCAACUCGACUCCAUGAAGUCGGAAUCGCUAGUAAUCGUGGAUCAGAAUGCCACGGUGAAUACGUUCCCGGGCCUUGUACACACCGCCCGUCACACCAUGGGAGUGGGUUGCAAAAGAAGUAGAUAGCUUAACCUUCGGGAGGGCGCUUACCACUUUGUGAUUCAUGACUGGGGUGAAGUCGUAACAAGGUAACCGUAGGGGAACCUGCGGUUGGAUCACC
rnacentral:rRNA from 1 species